rnacentral:rRNA from 1 species
AAUGGGCGAAAGCCUGAUCCAGCCACGCCGCGUGUGUGAUGAAGGCCCUCGGGUUGUAAAGCACUGUCGGGAGGGACGAAGCUGACGGUACCUCGCAAGAAAGCACCGGCUAACUUCGUGCCAGCAGCCGCGGUAAUACGAAGGGUGCAAGCGUUGCUCGGAAUUACUGGGCGUAAAGCGACCGCAGGCGGUCCAGUAGGUCGGAUGUGAAAGCCCGGGGCUCAACCCCGGAACUGCAUUCGAAACCCCUGGACUUGAGUACUGGAGAGGAGGGCGGAAUUCCUGGUGUAGAGGUGAAAUUCGUAGAUAUCAGGAGGAACGCUCGCGGCGAAGGCGGCUCUCUGGCCAGAUACUGACGCUCAUGGUCGAAAGCAUGGGUAGCGAAC